GCCCUGUUCUUCCCAGACUCUGGAAAAUUCAAAUCGGUGUUAAUUCAAAUCUGUUCUUGUUAAACAUUUCAUGAGCUUGUGGAUGGUUGUAUUUUAACAAUAGAACACGAGAUGUUUUUAUUGUUGUUUAUUAUUAUUUUUGUCUCAGAUUCAAUCCCGCCUUUCCUGAACCGGAUCUCAUUUCCAAGAACUCGUUCCCGCUUGUGUGGGUUUGGGAUGUUUUAACAUCGGCCCCAAUGCACACGAGCCACGAAAAUAAUCACAGAUUAACAUUUUAUUGCUCUGAUUUCACUGCUUUCUUGUCUCGGUGGGAGCGCUCUCCCCUCAAUCAGAGCGGCGGCGUUCUCUUGGCCAGCGUAGCUUGCGGUGCGUGUGUUUCCUCAGCUGAAUGAAGCAGAUUAAGAAUAUGAGUUUGAAUGUUUUGUUUGAAAUAAUAACAACCGUUCCCGUGGCGCAUCUUAAAGUAAACAUGCUUUAUGAGCUUUUGUGGUUAUUACAUUUCACUGUACAGCAAGGAGACACACAACAGCAGCCAUGAUGAAACCCCCCUAACAAGGACGCCUAUUGUCUGUCUUUAUUUAAUUGUCAAAAGGGGAAGUAUUAUUCUCUUUAAUGAAGACGGAAGCUUUUCAGCUUGAUAAUCUUUGUUUUUACGUGUAAAAACUUUCAAAAAGUACGAUGGGGGAGAAUACUAUCGGCAGCUAUCCUUACGAGCGAGUAGGGAACUACAUUGAGAGACUGGUGAGGCGGUACCUCGUUGGAUCUAUCUUUACAGCAGCUUGGGGUGUUAUAUAAGGAGGGAUGUAGCCAGGGCUGGAGGAGGAUGUAAGGAUGAUGAAUCCCGAUAUCAAAAUAACAGAACAGCCAAGCGCUCCAGGAUUAGCUCUGUUCAGUCUGCACCAGCAUGAGGAAAAACCCCAAUUAAUAGUCCAAACUAGGAGUUGCAGACGGGGACAUGGAACCCAGCUGGGAAUUCAGGGAGCAGCUGAGACGGGAGCGUUUAAGUGAGGGAAGGCAGUGGAUGAACAACCAGGGCAGGACUCGAGAAACCUCUGGCACCCAACUUGGCUAUGGAAUAAACACAAACAUAUGCUGCUCGUGCA